rnacentral:rRNA from 1 species
CGGACGGGUGAGUAACGCGUGGGCAACCUGCCCUGUACUGGGGGAUAACACCUGGAAACAGGUGCUAAUACCGCAUAAGCGCGCUGUGCCGCAUGGCGCGGCGCGGAAAAACCCCGGUGGUACAGGAUGGGCCCGCGUCUGAUUAGCUGGUUGGCAGGGUAACGGCCUACCAAGGCGACGAUCAGUAGCCGGCCUGAGAGGGUGGACGGCCACACUGGGACUGAGACACGGCCCAGACUCCUACGGGAGGCAGCAG